rnacentral:misc_RNA from 1 species
GAUGAAGAACGUAGCGAAAUGCGAUAAGUAAUGCGAAUUGCAGAAUUUCCGUGAGUCAUCGAAUCUUUGAACGCACAUUGCGCCCACUGGUAUUCCGGCGGGCAUGCCUGUUCGAGCGUCAUUACAACCCUCAGGCCCCCGGGCCUGGCGUUGGGGAUCGGCGGAAGCCCCCUGCGGGCACAACGCCGUCCCCCAAAUACAGUGGCGGUCCCGCCGCAGCUUCCAUUGCGUAGUAGCUAACACCUCGCAACUGGAGAGCGGCGCGGCCACGCCGUAAAACACCCAACUUCUGAAUGUUGACCUCGAAUCAGGUAGGAAUACCCGCUGAACUUAAGCAUAUCAAUAAGCGGAGGA